CGCCCGCAGCCAGCGCAUCCCUGUGCCCAAUUCUCCACUGCCUUAUUUUGCACCAUAUAUGGGCUGAAUGCAGAGAAGUCCUUUCAUUGACUGCACCAAGACUGACUUCGCAUGAGCUGCUCGGCAAGGAGGCAGAAAAGCAUCACCCUCUGUGCUACCCACCAAAUUAGAGGAAAAGAUGAGGAGUGACUCAUUCUAAGCUUUUUCAUCUCCCCAGGCAUCCUCUCUUUAUCUUCUCUCUCCCUCGUCUUACACACACUUAACUUUCACCCAGUGCUGCAGCAGAGAUUUGCAGCUUUGCAUCAGGCAGCCAGCUCAGCACAGCCACCACGUCUGCAUUUACUCCUCAGGACAGUGCCCAACCCAAGCUCAUGCUGGGAAGCAGCUGGAGUUUGGCACAAACCCUGCAGAGCUGGGCAUCAGGGCACAGCCAUACUUCAUUGACAGCACUACACACUCAUUUCUGCACUGUUGCACCCCUCCUGAACCCUCCCAGCCUGGCACCACAUCUCUCUUCUGUCAAAAGGCCAGAUUUUGGCUGCUGCUUUGCUCUCCAUGGAGAAACUUUCCUUUUAAUCUCAAUAAAGCCUACAGGAUUUAAGCCCAACCAACACAGAUAAAUCAUUGGCUUUGGCCUAAAAGUGAGCCAAUUUAGCCUUGGCAGAUUUGCUCUGUCAGAGGUCACCGAGAAGCUGAUUUACUAAAGACACUUGCUUUUUCUUGGCCUUGUGGUCAAAAUCAAGUCCCUCAGUGACACUUUUACUUGCUGUUUGUCUUGCUGUUCUUUUAUGAGGGAAACCACUAUGCUUCCGAGAGGAGGUGUCAGAGUCUCAGUCCAACUCUCGUUUUUUGGUGCUUGUUUUCUCCAAUAUUGAGACUGCCACAGAAAGCAGAACCUCCUGUUCCCCACCUCACCUUUAUCAGCGCCUUUGAAACAAUGUUAGGACUCAUCUACUUGAAGAAACAAAAUUGCGACCACUGGAUUUCUGCUCUGGGAUCUUCUAUAACAUUGGAGCUCCUAUUCCACCCUGGAGACCAGUCUGAGCUUUGCAGAUGAAGCUUGUAGUGCUGAGGAUAAGGAGUACAGAACUGGAAGCUCAGAACUCAGCCCUGCUCACAGCUGAGGUGAGUGCACACAGGGCAGUUGGCUCUGAAUAGAGCUCUGGUAAUGAAAGAGUCGCAAAGAUAUAUGAUUCUGGGGUGUAGAUGUCAUUGCUCCCACAGCUUGAGUACAUCUACACCUUCAGUCGUGCAACUAAGGUGACGUGCAGGGAAUUUUAUUCCUGUACUCCCCAGUGUUGGGGCUCCCAACAGG
ensembl:lncRNA